GACCUGCGGAGGAUCAUUGUCGAACCUGCAGAGCAGAACGACCCGCGAACGAGUGAGAGCCACCGCGGGCGUCGGGCCUCCUGGCUCGUCGCCCGCAGUCCGGGGGCAKGGAUGUGGGAAGCCACWGCCACUGCGCCCCGGGCGCCAAAAACGAACCCSGGCGCAGAUCGSSCCAAGGAACAMCAAUAGGAUGUGCGYUCCCCCCGCCCCGGGAACGGUGCCGCGGGGGGGAUGCGUCGUCGUUGAUAUCGAACAUGAAACGACUCUCGGCAACGGAUAUCUCGGCUCUCGCAUCGAUGAAGAACGUAGCGAAAUGCGACACUUGGUGUGAAUUGCAGAAUCCCGCGAAUCAUCGAGUUUUUGAACGCAAGUUGCGCCCGAAGCCGUCAGGCCGAGGGCACGCCUGCCUGGGUGUCACGCAACGUCGCCACCCCACACCCCCCACGGGGACGGCGUGGGAAGGCGGAUAUUGGCCUCCCGUGCGCUCCCCGCUCGCGGUUGGCCUAAAACACAGCCCCUUGGCGAAGGCAGCCACGGCCCGCGGUGGUCGAAAGCGCCAGCUCCUCGGAAACCGCCGUGGCGAGCCUCGUCGACGCGGAGCAUGAGACCCCGACGCGGAGCGUCCUCACUGAGCGACCCCAG
rnacentral:misc_RNA from 1 species